rnacentral:rRNA from 1 species
CCUCGGGAGGCAGCAGUGAGGGAAUAUUGCGCAAUGGGAGGGAAACUCUGUACGCAGCCAUGCCGCGCUGCAGGAAGACGGCCCUACGGGUUGUAAACUGCUUUUAUAUGGGAAGAAACCCCGAUACGUGUAACGGCUUGACGGUACUAUAUGAAUAAGGACCGGCUAACUCCGUGCCAGCAGCCGCGGUAAUACGGAGGGUCCAAGCGUUAUCCGGAUUUAUUAGGUUUAAAGGGUCCGCAGGCGGGAUUUUAAGUCAGUGGUGAAA